ACUAGAAAACAGUACAUGUUUAAGAGCGCAAGAAACUGUUUAUCCCUUGCAAGCAUGUCAGUUACACGCGUGCUACACUGAGUGGCUCAGCUUGUGCCUACCCUUCACCGGCAGGCACGGGUAACCCGUGGAACCCCAUUCGCGAUGGGGAUCGGGGAUUGCAAUUCUUCCCCGUGAACGAGGAAUUCCCAGUAAGUGCAGGUCAUAAGCUCAGGUUGAUUAAGUC
rnacentral:ncRNA from 1 species